CCCUGUCCAUGCUAGUUCUUGGCAUCUCUCUUACUUGUCUUUCCUCCGUCUUAAUCCAUACAGGGAGUUUUUGCAAAGGACUUGGGAGAAAAGUGCCUGGAAAACAUCAGCAUCUGGACAAAGAACAGUCAGCCAGAGCCUGUCAGGACAAAGGAAAUCUGUGGAGGAAUUUCUGCCUUAGAAAGCUUAUCUUCUCCAGAACAGCAUCUGACUUCAAAUUAUCAUGGCUUGUACAGCACCGAGGCCCCUUCUGCUUUCUGUACUGCCACGCUGGCAAGGAAGUUGGGGGUGCAUGGCAAAUUGUGAGGAAACACAGCCAGGACAGGUGACCCAAACUGACCAAAGGGAUAUUCCAGACCAUACGACAUCAUGAUCGGUAGGGACUUCACAUGUGUGGAAACAGCAUGCAGUCUUAGAAAAUUGUCAGACUUGAAAGCAAUGGCCUGAGAGCAGAAGAGGAAAUUUCUCAGUGACCUACUUGCUUUCCAGUGAAGAUGAGACUUUGGCAUUCUGUAAAUAAAAUGUAUAAACUCCUGUGUUCGGUGAAAUUUACACCACCACCACCACC